rnacentral:rRNA from 1 species
AUUGAACGCUGGCGGCAUGCUUUACACAUGCAAGUCGAACGGCAGCGCGGGCUUCGGCCUGGCGGCGAGUGGCGAACGGGUGAGUAAUACAUCGGAACGUGCCCAGUAGUGGGGGAUAGCUCGGCGAAAGCCGGAUUAAUACCGCAUACGACCUGAGGGUGAAAGCGGGGGAUCUUCGGACCUCGCGCUCUUGGAGCGGCCGAUGGCAGAUUAGCUAGUUGGUGGGGUAAAGGCCUACCAAGGCGACGAUCGGUAGCUGGUCUGAGAGGACGACCAGCCACACUGGGACUGAGACACGGCCCAGACUCCUACGGGAGGCAGCAGUGGGGAAUUUUGGACAAUGGGCGAAAGCCUGAUCCAGCAAUGCCGCGUGUGUGAUGAAGGCCUUCGGGUUGUAAAGCACUUUUGGCGGGAACGAAAAGGACUGUGCCAAUACCACGGUUCGAUGACGGUACCCGCAGAAUAAGCACCGGCUAACUACGUG